CAAAAAAACAAAACAAAGUAACAAACCAAGAACCACUACUUGUGAAAAACAGUUGAAACAUUUUUACAGAAAUCUCCGGUGAGCCAACACCAAUGUCUACUACGAUGGCACAUCAUCUUGCUAUAGUUACUUCUUCCGGUUUUCGACAUACUUCGAAAUGCUUUGGUUUUUCUUUCUAUAUCAAUGGCCAUAAAUUCACCACCAGCCAUACUACAGUUACUAUAAAUAGAAACAGAACCAAGAUUCCUUUGUUAGUUACCUGUUCCUCUGCUAAACCGUCUUCGUCUACAGAAAUCAGUUCCCAAGCGAGAAUUAGGAGUGAAGUUCUUACCCCAUUUAGAUCGGUUAGGAUGUUCUUUUAUAUCGCUUUCGUUGCACAAGCUUCACUUGGUGGAUUGAUAGCCACUACACAGCUUAUUGGUGCAUUGUCUAAUCCUGCAAGAGCAGAUUCAGUUAUUGACAUUGCAAAAGGCCUUGGCAUAGACGUAGGAGCUGCAGCUCUGUUUGGAUUCUUGUAUAAUAGAGAAAACAAAAUCAAGAAUGCACAAAUGGCCCGGCUUUCAAGAGAAGAAAAUCUUUCAAACCUUAAAUUGCGUGUAGAUGAAAAGAAGAUUAUCACUGUUAGUGAAUUUAGAGGACUUGCCCGUCUUGUAAUCCUUGCUGGACCUUCAUCAUUCAUAACAGAAGCUUUUAAACGUAGUGAAACGUUUACUGAACAGCUUAUAGAAAGAGGGGUGCUUGUGGUGCCUUUUUCGACUGAUGGAAAUGCACCUGAAUUUGAGUUUGACGAGACUGAUGACUCGAAAGACUUAACAAACAAAAGAAAAAGGCUUUGGCAGCUUGUACCUGUCCUUACGCCAGAAUGGUCCGAUUGGCUGGAUGACCAGAAGAAACUGGCCAAUGUGUCACCUGAAUCUCCAGUGUAUCUAUCUCUGAGGUUGGAUGGACGUGUACGUGGAAGUGGUGUGGGUUACCCACCUUGGAAUGCCUUUGUAGCACAGUUGCCUCCAGUAAAAGGAAUGUGGUCUGGCCUUCUUGACGGCAUGGAUGGAAGAGUCCUUUAGAAAUCAUUUAUUUUUUUCCGAAUAUAUGAAGGUUUGACAUAGCUUCAGGCUUCAGCAAUAACACCGUUAAUUAGAGUUCAUCAAAUACUUGGUGGCAUACCAUUCGGGUACAUUUGUUGAUCGGCUUUACUUCAUCAAACAAACAAGAAAACUUCAACUCUUUGGAUCGGAAAGUAUGAUAAUUUGUCAAUUUAAAGAGAUAUCAACUGCGUUGAUACAAGUCUGCGACUCAUUUUUACUUUCGCAGUAUAUGGUUUUGUAUAGCAGGUGACCGAAAUAUACUACCAUAUAGAUUCUGGAAAACGUUUCAUUAUCGUGUAUGUUCAUAUUACUUCGUUAUACUAACAAUUCAGCUAAGAUUACAGUAAUAUUAUAGAUAAGCGUAUGUUUGUUGCGAAUCUAA